CUCUCUACCAGCUGACGUGAAGAGGACAAAGGCCACUUGAAAUCACUUUUACUAGGAACAUUUGAGUCUCCUUUCCUCAGCUGUGACUGCUAGGACAGCUCUAGUUCAAAGAGGCCAGGAUGAAGAGUAAGCCAGACACCAGAGCAAUGCAUGAAUGAAAAAGGACCACAAAGAAAACCCCACAGUGCCUUGGGUAUCCCCCUGAGCUGGAUAUUUUACAGUGAAUUCCUACCCACAUUCUGACUUCAUCUGAGCUGGGGCAGUGAGGCUGCCAUCCUCAUCUUCCAUCUUUUGCACAGAUGUAAAAAUAUUUUGCUGCUCUGCUUCCUUCCAGUUGUGAGCAGCAGAAGAAGUAAUUACCCCAUUCCAGGGCUGGAACAUGAUCCUUGUGAAUGAACACUUCAGCUGUGCCAGACCAUGCACUGGAACUACAGAAAAUCCAACCCCAGGCUGCAAAGAUAGGAUCUCUCAGAAUGGAGAUCAAGAACAUGUGCAGAGAGACACCAAAAUGAGAAUGACCCUUCUGUUAUCUUCCUGUUCGUCCUCAGCAGUUUAAGAAGGUGCCAAAUCUUUAUCUUCCAUAAUGUUUUGAAAAUAAAACUGGGAGAAUAAUGGAAAACUUCAGAAACUAUUUGCUUGGGUAUUUAAAUUAGCUCAGUCCAGCUAUAUCCACCCUCUCAUCUGUUAGCUCUCUGCAAACACUCUAACAAUGAGUUUUACUGGCAGGGUUGUUUGUAGAGAGCUAAUUUCAGAGUGGCGAACAUAUUUGCAAAUACCCACUUGUAAGUUUGCUUAUGCAUGUAUCUGCCAUAGAAAUAUUUGUAUAUUCAUCCAAAUAAAGGGAUAGGAAAAUACUGUGCUACUUGUCUGUCCAGCCAAAACUAAAGAACCUGAGGCUCAUUGUUAGUGAAGGAUUUUAACAUCAUAUAGAAAUCUGUGGUGAAUAAAAAUGAAUGUGAUUCAUUUCAAGCAUAUUAAACGUGCUGUUGAAGGCAGUUUGCAGGGAAGAGUCACGCAGUAGUUGGAGGCUGUCUGUCCCCUCCAGUCGAGUGCCUGGGGCACUGGGGAUAUUUGAGUCUGUGAUGAGUUAUGCUGCUGAACACUGGACACGUUGUUGAUUGUGGAUUAUUCCCCUAAUGCUUCUCAAAAAUGAAUAAUUUUAACAGACGGAAGAAGGGGAAGGGAGGAGGAGCAGUGACUAAUAAUUUGAAUGAAAUGGAUCGUCAAUAUUUAUUUGCAUGAGAGAUUGGAUAUGGGAAUCCGCCAGCAUCUCUGAUGGUGCUUGUGCUGUGGCACUGCAAAGAACUAUCCAUAAACCUCCUCAUUUAGUGGGCAUGAAGCAUCCAUCAUCCUGAUUAAUUGUGAUGGGAAAAAGGGGCAAGAAAUGACUGAACUCCCUUUCCACUCAGGAUCCUCUCUGUGUCAAGUCCAGGCUGUGGGACCAAAAUGGAUAAAAUGGUUUAGUUGUUUUCACCUUGCUUAUUUUUUUUUAAAUAAUCAAGGAAUUCAAAAGCAUGAGAGAAAUAUGAAGAAGAGGGAUAUUACUUGAUGUACUACAGGACAAAAAUGAGAGAGAAUUUAAUAGCAUUCUAAUAGACUGAAAAGGAUUACCUAAAUACAUGAAAAUUUAAUAUGUAAGUAUCUGUUACAUGCAACACUCUGGGUGCUUGACUAAGAACGUUCAUGAUCUUCAAAAUUGACAGGAGGGAGAAGAAGUGAAGGCUCUCUCCUUCCCCUUUGCUUAAUUUCUAUCAGCUUGUCCUAUUAGUCUUGGGGAAAUCGAUGGCACAGCUGGAGGAACCUCCUGUCUGCUCCCCUAUUUGUAAAUACAGGAUUUAAAUACUGCCAUUAUAUUAAGACAAUAGCACUAUUCAAUUGAACGACUUCCUUAGCCAACAAAACAAUAAUUAAGCUAAUCUUUUCACCCAGAGAGUCAAUGUUGAAGAUCCCUAAAUACUUGUUUCUUUUUGGCAGAACAUAUUCCUAUUAGAAAAUUCUGUUUUAAUGAAACUGUAUCUUUGUAUGCAUUUGUGUUGAUUUUUAUCAGAUUUUCCAAGGGGAAAAUAAAGA